GAUGAACGCUGGCGGCGUGCCUAAUACAUGCAAGUCGAACGAAACUUCUUUAUCACCGAGUGCUUGCACUCACCGAUAAAGAGUUGAGUGGCGAACGGGUGAGUAACACGUGGGCAACCUGCCCAAAAGAGGGGGAUAACACUUGGAAACAGGUGCUAAUACCGCAUAACCAUAGUUACCGCAUGGUAACUAUGUAAAAGGUGGCUAUACUACCGCUUUUGAUGGGCCCGGGGCGCAUUAGCCAGUUGGUAGGGUAAAGGCUUACCAAGGCAAUGAUGCGUAGCCGAAUUGAGAGGUUGAUCGGCCACAUUGGGACUGAGACACGGCCCAAACUCCUACGGGAGGCAGCAGUAGGGAAUCUUCCACAAUGGGCGAAAGCCUGAUGGAGCAACGCCGCGUGGGUGAAGAAGGUCUUCGGAUCGUAAAACCCUGUUGUUAGAGAAGAAAGUGCGUGAGAGUAACUGUUCACGUUUCGACGGUAUCUAACCGGAAAGCCACGGCUAACUACGUG
rnacentral:rRNA from 1 species